GGUUGACCUCGGAUCAGGUAGGGAUACCCGCUGAACUUAAGCAUAUCAAUAAGGCGGAGGAA
rnacentral:rRNA from 2 species